GAUUUCUUGCACUGUGGGCAGAAGUUUCGCGGGCCGGGUGGCACCGCGUCGCGGGCCGGAUAUGGCCCGCGGGCCGUAUGUUGGGCAUCCCUGUUCUAGAACAAUACUCUCGGAGAGAGUCAGUAUAAGAAUUUAUGGAAUUCAGGACGACAAUAGAAAUGAAACGGCGGAAAAGUGUGAAAAGAAAGUGCUUCAUGUUGUUCAGUCAGGACUUGGUCUGUCGGACAUUGACACUUAUAAAAUCUCAGCGUUACACAGAGUAGGAAAAAUAAAUAAAGAUAGACCGAGACCAAGACCAGUGAUUGUAAAGUUCAUCUCCCGUAAGGACAGAGACCGAGUGCUGAAAGCAAGAAGUCGACUCAAGGGGUCAGGUAUGUCUGUCACAGAAGACCUUACACAUUUAAAUGUGCAAAGACUUAAUCGUUUAAAGCAGCAUGAAGGUGUCCUAGACGCAUGGUCGCCGGCUGGCGGCAAACUAUUUGUAAAAUUAUUGGAUCUGUCUGUGCGGGAGGUAAAAGGUGGCGAUGUCAGUUAUAUCGACAAAAUGCUUAUAGGAAUGAGCCACGAGGAAAUAGUUCGACAAUAACGGGAAGGGAGCGAAAGGAAAUUCCAACAGAAUCAGGAAGGGACGACAAGACAGCAGCAACAACAGAGUGAGAAAAAAUCUCAUCAUCAACAACCUGCACACGGAAGAGAGGGGCAUCUUGGGACUUCUCCAUCCACCUUUGACCCCACUACUCAUUCCACGCCUUCCGUAACUAAGACGCCACCUCUGGACCCGGGGGCGAGUGUGUUUAGCCCAGCACAGGGGCAGGACACCGAGCAGCCAAACACAACAGGGAUGAACAUUACACAAGAAAUACCUAACAGUUCACUCGGAUCAACUUUGCAAACACAAGAAAUACCUUAUCAGUGACCUCCCUUAUGUCUUCUCGUAAUCUGGAGACCCUAUACCUACUUGAAAAUCCCAAAGCAAAACCCCCAACCUGGAGGGCCAGGGUGCAACAUUUUAGUCUGGUCUCUCCGCUGACAGACCUGUUUGACUUGGUUAGACCUGCCAGGAGCACAAGGCUCCCGCCGACAUAGCUCUGUGGAUCGACAAGACGCGCAAGCCACCACACAACUACAAGCAUUGGUGGAAACGCCUUUCGUAGCCUUGACAUGGGAUGGAAGCAACUGUCUGAGCUUGUCUGUGUAUAGGCACAGUUUGUUGGAUGAUAAUGUGACAGAGAAUACUCCAUACGUUGUGCGAAGACCUCAUUCCAAGGUUGUCAACUGGUCGAAGAAUUACGUGGGAUCACCAACCCAUGCACUUAGGCUCUCAGCUGCUUACAAUAAUGUGAACUUACAACGCGAAGCAUCACGACCAAGAUAGAUCGCACUCUCUGUGCAGACCAAUAUUGAUAAAUGAAAAGAUAACAGAACAGCCAGUGGACAUGCAGUGAGUGGCACAUUGCUCAAAGCAAUACUUGUUGAAGUGACAGUCUGCACAGCACCUUAGCGUGCCCACGAAGACACGAUAUUAGAACAGAACUACCAACAGGUGACGCUGUGCGACAGGUAAGCAAGAUGGUCUUGUGGCUUCACCAAAUUUUGCAAAGAGGUAUCUCUUGCCCCUGAUUGCACAAUAUAUUGGUAACAACUGCCUCAACACUUCUGCCAGUGAUUCAUGGCUGCCAAACACAGCCAACAAUAUUGUGGUUGCUUUGCAGCACUCCUGUUUCUCAACUUGCAUGUUCAACAAGUUGCUACACAUCUGAAUGGUUUGCCACUCUCUGACAUUUCAAUUGUGGAUGGUAGUGAUCGACAAGAUCUUGACAUUAAAACAAUUGCUAUCCUGCGUGCAUGUCACUUAGGAUGCUGCCCGAAAUGCCCAGAUGGCGCUGGGUGGGGUCUUGAUGGUAAAGACUGGGGAUGCUGUGGAAGUUAUAAGGGAUGUUGCCACCUUGCCUCUGCCUUAUGCUAUGUGCACGAUGCCUUGUGUCGCUGCUGUCAUUUGGGACUUUUUUUCUGUGGGCCUUUCUGCAAUCCAGAUCCAGAUUGUGAGUCACACAGGAAUAAGAUGGAUGUCCACUUUAUUUCUUCCACCCAGAAGCGCCAUUUCAACUUAAAAGCUGCUUCUUAUGAUUCCAAAUUCGAAAGAGCAAACAAUGUUACACAGCUUCUGAAUAAAAACCUGCGCUCACAGUCUCAAAACGCUAGAUCUCAGGCAGUAGGGACAAACAUUUCCCAUGAGCAAGUUACAUCAAAUGGCUUUGAUGAGGACAAGUUUGAUCUUAUGAUACCAGGCUCCCAUGGGCCAGUAAGUCUCAAGACCCCAGUUAUCACUGAAACCCAAGGCAACCAGGAAGAAGGAAGUGGGGAAAAUGGAUAAGGUGCUGAAGAAUAUCACAGAGACUUGCACCAAGAAUAGGGAUUAAAGGAUUUUCAAGACUGUCA